CGGGGCUGUUGUAAGGACUUGUGGAGGAUGGGAGCGCUGCGGAAGAUUGCAGGGCUUCUGCGUGGUUGCGGGGCUUCCCUUAGCCUCGUCAACCAGGAUUGGUCCGUGGGGCAACGCUAGACCCUCACCUGAAGCCCAUUCCUGUUCACGCCAGUCUGCUACUCCAGUCACCGUUAGGAAAACGUUGCCGGCCAGGCGCGAGCAAAUUCUUGGAAGCAGUCCUUGUUACAACGUGACAAAUUUCCAAUUCAAAUAAUUUUUUUUUUCUAAAGCAUACUACCUUUAAGAUAUCUUUUUGAUGUACUGGUCGACUGUUUAUGAAGAUGAAACUUCUUUCUGGUGUUGAAAGACUAGUGAAAGAGUGGUCUGCAUCACACUUUGGAAGAAAUCCACUGAGAUAAAUCUAUAUAAUAAUUACAGAAUAUGCAAUGUCAACAAUGUAGUUCCACGGGUCUGGCUAUAUA
rnacentral:lncRNA from 1 species